rnacentral:rRNA from 1 species
ACAAGAUGGAGGAAGGUGGGGAUGACGUCAAGUCAUCAUGGCCCUUAUGUCCAGGGCGACACACGUGCUACAAUGGCCGGCACAACGGGAAGCGAGUUCGCGAGGACGAGCGGAUCCCUUAAAGCCGGUCGCAGUUCGGAUUGAAGUCUGCAACUCGACUUCAUGAAGCUGGAAUCGCUAGUAAUCGUGGAUCAGCCAAGCCGCGGUGAAUACCGGUUCCCGGCCUU